AACGAACGCUGGCGGCAGGCCUAACACAUGCAAGUCGAGCGGACAUCUUCGGAUGUUAGCGGCGGACGGGUGAGUAACGCGUGGGAACGUGCCCUUUGCUUCGGAAUAGCCUCGGGAAACUGGGAGUAAUACCGGAUGUACCCUUUGGGGGAAAGAUUUAUCGGCAAAGGAUCGGCCCGCGUUGGAUUAGGUAGUUGGUGGGGUAAUGGCCUACCAAGCCGACGAUCCAUAGCUGGUUUGAGAGGAUGAUCAGCCACACUGGGACUGAGACACGGCCCAGACUCCUACGGGAGGCAGCAGUGGGGAAUCUUAGACAAUGGGGGAAUCCCUGAUCUAGCCAUGCCGCGUGAGCGAUGAAGGCCUUAGGGUUGUAAAGCUCUUUCACCGGGGAAGAUAAUGACGGUACCCGGAGAAGAAGCCCCGGCUAACUCCGUG
rnacentral:rRNA from 1 species